AUUCGGCAUGAUAACUGGACGAUGGUCUCAAUCACCAACGACCCGAGUCUUUUAAGUUGCCGAUAGAUAAAUCUUGCGAAGGAAUCUUACACGUUCUCGGAAUCACCCAAUGAAGUACAGCGUUUAGUCUUUCGCAACAUAC
rnacentral:snoRNA from 1 species